GGUCCGGUGGCCUAGUGGUUAGAGAGUCUGCCUCUGAUGCGGAAGGUCAUGGUUUCAAUUCCCAGUCAAGUCA